CUACGUGCCAGCAGCCGCGGUAAUACGGAAGGUUCGGGCGUUAUCCGGAUUUAUUGGGUUUAAAGGGAGCGUAGGCYGGAGAUUAAGUGUGUUGUGAAAUGUAGACGCUCAACGUCUGACUUGCAGCGCAUACUGGUUUCCUUGAGUACGCACAACGUUGGCGGAAUUCGUUAACUCCGAUUGCGAAGGCAGCUGACGGGAGUGCGACUGACGCUGAAGCUCGAAGGUGCGGGUAUCGAACAGGAUUAGAUACCCUGGUAGUCCGCACAGUAAACGAUGGAUGCCCGCUGUUGGUACCURGUAUCAGCGGCUAAGCGAAAGCAUUAAGCAUCCCACCUGGGGAGUACGCCGGCAACGGUGAAACUCAAAGGAAUUGACGGGGGCCCGCACAAGCGGAGGAACAUGUGGUUUAAUUCGAUGAUACGCGAGGAACCUUACCCGGGCUKAA
rnacentral:rRNA from 1 species